rnacentral:rRNA from 1 species
UGAGGAAUAUUGGUCAAUGGGCGCAAGCCUGAACCAGCCAUGCCGCGUGCAGGAAGAAGGUCCUAUGGAUUGUAAACUGCUUUUAUUUGGGAAUAAACCUAUUUACGUGUAGAUAGCUGAAGGUACCAAAUGAAUAAGCACCGGCUAACUCCGUGCCAGCAGCCGCGGUAAUACGGAGGGUGCAAGCGUUAUCCGGAAUCAUUGGGUUUAAAGGGUCCGCAGGCGGACAUAUAAGUCAGUGGUGAAAGCCUACAGCUCAACUGUAGAACUGCCAUUGAUACUGUAUGUCUUGAAUUCGGUCGAAGUGGGCGGAAUAUGACAUGUAGCGGUGAAAUGCUUAGAUAUGUCAUAGAACACCGAUAGCGAAGGCAGCUCACUAGGCCUGGAUUGACGCUCAGGGACGAAAGCGUGGGGAGCAAACAGG